GGAGGUAAGGGCCAUGGGGCUGUGACAGCUGUCACUCCAUUGAUCACCCUGGUUGAUUGGGCUGAUCUGGCUGGCUAGGUGGUUUCCUGUCCUUCCCUCUCUGCACUGUGAGCAUCCCUCUUCAAGCUGCAUGCUUGGUCAAAGAGGAAAACCUUCUCUAAAAAAAAGAAAUUCAGGUCAAAAGUCAAGGGUGUCUGUGCUUCCCUGCUACAAGCUCCAAACAAGCCCCCAAGAGCCACAAGAUGAAAAGGAGUGUCCUGAGGCUUGGCCCCGC
rnacentral:snRNA from 1 species